ACUGACCUGGCCAUAUCACGCUGAGAGCACCGGUUCUCGUCCGAUCACCGAAGUUAAGCAACGUCGUGCCUAGUGAGUACUUAGAUGGCUGACCGCUUGGGAAACCUAGGUGCUGUAAGCA
rfam:Octopus bimaculoides Scaffold3350_contig_20, whole genome shotgun sequence.